GGUCGUAGUUAAGUCGGUUAUAACGCCGGCCUGUCACGCCGGAGGCCACGGGUUCGAGUCCCGUCGACC
rnacentral:tRNA from 1 species